rnacentral:rRNA from 1 species
UACAGAGGUCUCGAGCGUUAGUCGGAAUCACUGGGCGUAAAGCGUGCGUAGACGGUUAUUUAAGUCGGGUGUGAAAGCCCCGGGCUCAACCUGGGAAUUGCAUUCGAGACUGAAUAGCUAGGGUACGGUAGAGGGAAGUGGAAUUUCCGGUGUAGCGGUGAAAUGCGUAGAUAUCGGAAGGAACAUCAGUGGCGAAAGCGACUUCCUGGACCAGUACCGACGUUCAGGCACGAAAGCGUGGGGAGCAAACAGG